UGAGGAAUAUUGGGCAAUGCCCGCAAGGGUGACCCAGCAACGCCGCGUGGAGGAUGAAUGUCGUAAGAUUGUAAACUCCUGUUAGAGGGGAAGAAUAGUACCGGUUGGACCGGUAUAUGACUGUACCCUCAGAGAAAGCCCCGGCUAACUACGUGCCAGCAGCCGCGGUAAUACGUAGGGGGUAAGCGUUGUCCGGAUUUACUGGGUGUAAAGGGCGCGCAGGCGGGAUAAAAAGUCAGUGGUGAAAUCCUACAGCUUAACUGUAGAACUGCCUUUGAUACUUUUAUUCUUGAGUUCGGGAGAGAGAGACGGAAUUCCAGGUGUAGUGGUGAAAUACGUAGAUAUCUGGAAGAACACCAGUUGCGAAGGCGGUCUCUUGGUCCGACACUGACGCUGAGGCGCGAAAGCGUGGGGA
rnacentral:rRNA from 1 species